rnacentral:rRNA from 1 species
GUUUAAAUUUCUUGUCUCAAAGAUUAAGCCAUGCAUGUCUAAGUAUAAGCAACUAUACAGUGAAACUGCGAAUGGCUCAUUAAAUCAGUUAUCGUUUAUUUGAUAGUACCUUACUACUUGGAUAACCGUGGUAAUUCUAGAGCUAAUACAUGCUAAAAAUCCCGACCUCUGGAAGGGAUGUAUUUAUUAGAUAAAAAACCAAUGCCUUCGGGCUCCUUGGUGAUUCAUGAUAACUUAACGAAUCGCAUGGCCUUGCGCCGGCGAUGGUUCAUUCAAAUUUCUGCCCUAUCAACUUUCGAUGGUAGGAUAGUGGCCUACCAUGGUUUCAACGGGUAACGGGGAAUUAGGGUUCGAUUCCGGAGAGGGAGCCUGAGAAACGGCUACCACAUCCAAGGAAGGCAGCAGGCGCGCAAAUUACCCAAUCCCGAUUCGGGGAGGUAGUGACAAUAAAUACUGAUACAGGGCUCUUUUGGGUCUUGUAAUUGGAAUGAGUACAAUUUAAAUCCCUUAACGAGGAACAAUUGGAGGGCAAGUCUGGGCC